GUCUCCAUAGUGCUGAGAGUCUGACGGAGCACGCCGCGUGAGUGAUGAAGGCUUUCGGGUCGUAAAACUCUGUUGUUAGGGAAGAACAAGUGCUAGUUGAAUAAGCUGGCACCUUGACGGUACCUAACCAGAAAGCCACGGCUAACUACGUGCCAGCAGCCGCGGUAAUACGUAGGUGGCAAGCGUUAUCCGGAAUUAUUGGGCGUAAAGCGCGCGCAGGUGGUUUCUUAAGUCUGAUGUGAAAGCCCACGGCUCAACCGUGGAGGGUCAUUGGAAACUGGGAGACUUGAGUGCAGAAGAGGAAAGUGGAAUUCCAUGUGUAGCGGUGAAAUGCGUAGAGAUAUGGAGGAACACCAGUGGCGAAGGCGACUUUCUGGUCUGUAACUGACACUGAGGCGCGAAAGCGUGGGGAGCAAACAGGAUUAGAUACCCCGGUAGUCA
rnacentral:rRNA from 2 species